ACGGUGGCUCCGCGCUGGCGGCGGGUUCCCCCACAAGGUCUUGGGGAAAGGAGCAUGCGCUGGAAGCUGUGUGCUGUUGGUUUUGAGGAUCUUCAGUAAGCUGAAAGCGGAGAGUCAGGGGCCUUGUGUCCUACCAUGGUAUUUGCUAACGUUUAGAGAGUGCUUCCCCUUGCCGAGCACUGGAUCACUCCUUUAUUGUACAGAUCAGGAAAAAGGAUUUAGUACUGCUAUGCUCAAAUGAACACUGGGCCCAUGUGUCAGGGCCAAGCAACUAGAACAUGAUUCAGAAAUCAGUCAGAGAGAGACACACUUGGACAAGACCAAGAGGCAUUUCAUUGUCACGAAACAAGGUGGGGGAGGGAUUCCAAAACACACAGCAGGAAGUACUUCUAACCCUCAGAGGUCAAGGAGCUUAUUCCAUGUUGGUAUGAGGAAUGGCUUAUUUUCUGAUGACCACAUGUGGGACUAUUUCAACUGCCACGAGAAAUCCCAGAAGGAUUAUUGUUUUGUAUUAUUUAUAUAUACUAUACCUUUUUAAAAAAAUAAAAUAAAUGUAACACAUAAA
rnacentral:lncRNA from 10 species